AAACAGCCCCCUAUGUUUUGAUUCUUUGGCAGUUUUGGACCCCCAAGGCAAAAAUAAAUUUAAAAAAAUGACACGUGGCACCCUCAGUGUUGACCGAGUCAACAAUGGACUGGGUCCAAAACUGCCAAAGAAUCAAAACAUAGGGGGUUGUUU
rnacentral:pre_miRNA from 1 species